AAAAAAAAAGGAAAAACGGAAAAAAAUUCCCGACAAAUCGAACGUGUAACUAUUACGUCGUUCCGGCGUAGAAGAGUCCGGACGGCGUGACGUGCGCGCGUAUGAAGUUCGAAUAACGAAAAAAAAGCUUUCUGAUAUAGCGACGGGGGCGGGGGCAAAGGGGAGAGGGCGAAUAGUAGAAGAAUAGAAACGCACUCGGGUCGGGUCUCCGGACGGCUAUGGGUCGGGACAACGAGUUCUGCGAGUGUACCUCGAUAACAAAUAGAUUUCCGCGGAACGACCGAUCGGCGGUGCGCUCGGAGUAGGGGGUGGGGGGAGGGUCGGCAGAGUAGGAGUUUCGGGGUCGCGUUCUCGCCGCCCUCCCGCCGCGCUGCUCGUUCGGCCCGAAAAUACAACGGUCGGUCUGUCGGUGCGCCGGGCCGAACGUCGGAGUUUCCGGCGGUGCGGGUUUUAAACUGGUCGCGUUUGGCGGGCCCGGGGAGCUAUUGCCGGAUCGUAACCGUUAGUAACUGAAUCCACCUCUCCGGUCGAACGACCGCGGGGCGUAAACGGACGAAAAGCCGUCGAACGGGUGGGAAACCGAAAAUAACGGCGGCGACGGACGACGGCCGGUGUAACGGUGUCGAUCCGGGGGAAAAAAAAAAAACCGAAACAAAACCGAAUUCCGGAGGGCGUAAGAACGAUUUCCGAUAGGACGGGCGCCUAGCGUUACCGCCGCCGUUACACGGUCCGAUGCGAUACGAUGUUCGCGGUUCACGACGGCAACGUAAUGUUUGACGCGUACAAUUACGACAGGUUAACGGUGGUUUUUUAACGACAAAAAAAAAAAAAUAAUAAUAAUAAUAAUUACAAUAACGUACAGUAAAAUUAUCGUUAAUAAAUAUUAUCGUCCGCCGGGUCGGUGUGUUUCGCCGUCGUUUUCGUCUCCGUUACUCCUCUCUCUCUCUCUCUCUCUCUCUCGCACUCUCGGUGCCGGUUCCGCGUGAUCCCCG